UACGGAGGGUGCAAACGUUGCUCGGAAUCAUUGGGCGUAAAGCGCACGUAGGCGGUCUGAUAAGUCGGAUGUGAAAGCCCUGGGCUCAACCCAGGAAGAGCAUUCGAAACUGGCAGGCUCGAGUAUGGAAGAGGGUCGCGGAAUUCCCGGUGUAGAGGUGAAAUUCGUAGAUAUCGGGAGGAACACCAGUGGCGAAGGCGGCGACCUGGGCCAAUACUGACGCUGAGGUGCGAAAGCGUGGGGAGCAAACAGG
rnacentral:rRNA from 1 species